rnacentral:snRNA from 1 species
GUGCUUGCUUCAGCAGCACAUAUACUAAAAUUGGAACGAUAUAGAAGAUUAGCAUGACCCCUUUCUAAGUUAAAAUAAAAAAUGAAAGCCUCCACCAGUAAGU